rnacentral:piRNA from 1 species
AAACACGUAAGAAUUCACAGCGGAGAGA